rnacentral:rRNA from 1 species
ACAGCAGCCGCCGCGGUAAUACGGAGGGUGCAAGCGUUAAUCGGAAUUACUGGGCGUAAAGCGUGCGUAGGCGGUUCGUUAAGUCUGUUGUGAAAGCCCCGGGCUCAACCUGGGAAUGGCAAUGGAUACUGGCGAGCUAGAGUGUGUCAGAGGAUGGUGGAAUUCCCGGUGUAGCGGUGAAAUGCGUAGAGAUCGGGAGGAACAUCAGUGGCGAAGGCGGCCAUCUGGGACAACACUGACGCUGAGGCACGAAAGCGUGGGGAGCAAACAGGAUUAGAUACCCCAGUAGUCCCUGUCUCUUAUAC